AGUGGAAUAGCUGGGUCAUAUGGUAUUUCCAUUCCUAGUCUUUCAAGAAAUAGCCAUACUUCUUUCCAAUGUGGUUGUACUAAUUUGCAGUCCUACCAACAAC
rnacentral:pre_miRNA from 1 species